rnacentral:rRNA from 1 species
AACUCUUCGGAGGGACGUUCGUGGAACGAGCGGCGGACGGGUGAGUAACACGUAGGCAACCUGCCUGUAAGACUGGGAUAACUCGCGGAAACGCGAGCUAAUACCGGAUAAUACUUAUGAUCUCCUGAUGAUAAGUUGAAAGGCGGCUUUUGCUGUCACUUACAGAUGGGCCUGCGGCGCAUUAGCUAGUUGGUGGGGUAACGGCUCACCAAGGCGACGAUGCGUAGCCGACCUGAGAGGGUGAUCGGCCACACUGGGACUGAGACACGGCCCAGACUCCUACGGGAGGCAGCAGUAGGGAAUCUUCCGCAAUGGACGAAAGUCUGACGGAGCAACGCCGCGUGAGUGAUGAAGGUUUUCGGAUCGUAAAACUCUGUUGUCGGGGAAGAACAAGUAUGAUAGUAACUGAUCGUACCUUGACGGUACCCGACCAGAAAGCCACGGCUAACUACGUGCCAGCAGCCGCGGUAAUACGUAGGUGGCAAGCGUUGUCCGGAAUUAUUGGGCGUAAAGCGCUCGCAGGCGGUUCUUUAAGUCUGAUGUGAAAUCUUGCGGCUCAACCGUAAACGUGCAUUGGAAACUGGAGGACUUGAGUGCA